UGCCUUAGCUCAGUCGGUAGAGCAUUUCACUCGUAAUGAAAAGGUCGAGAGUUCGAUUCUCUCAGGCAGCUCGGCCA
rnacentral:tRNA from 1 species